CGUCAACAAUGGCUAUAAGAGAUGGCAUAGCCAAUUUGGAUGUGCAUCUACUGUGUGCUCGCUCACUUCCCUUCUCGAUCGACUGUUUAUUAGUUGAGGCAUGGGAGCCCUUAACGUGCCAAUCCUGCUAUGCUUGCUACUGCUCAUGCCGCUCCAUUUGGUUCCAGGCUCUGAAGCCAAGACUUGCAGACAUGUCACUAGAACAUAUAUCCCUGUCUGGUGCGUUCCGGUUUGGUGUACCCAGGCCUGCCUCAGGGAGGGCUAUACCAGUGGGAGUUGUGGAACCAUCAUUUUUUGUUUGUGCUUUAAAGAUUGCUGAAGAGAAACGUGUUGCGGCUGCCCGAGGGUGUGAUGUAAUAAGAUUGCAGUAAGAACAAGCUAUGACAGAGCGAUGGCUGAAAUUGAGACUCUACUAAAUAAAUUUUCCCUA